CUGGCCUUGACAUCUGUCGAAUCCUGCAGAGAUGCGGGAGUGCCGCAAGGAACGACAAGACAGGUGCUGCAUGGCUGUCGUCAGCUCGUGUCGUGAGAUGUUGGGUUAAGUCCCGCAACGAGCGCAACCCUUGUCCUUAGUUGCCAGCACGUAAUGGUGGGAACUCUAAGGAGACUGCCGGUGACAAACCGGAGGAAGGUGGGGAUGACGUCAAGUCCUCAUGGCCCUUACGGCCAGGGCUACACACGUACUACAAUGGUCGGUACAGAGGGUCGCGAAGCCGCAAGGUGGAGCCAAUCCCAGAAAACCGAUCCCAGUCCGGAUUGGAGUCUGCAACUCGACUCCAUGAAGUUGGAAUCGCUAGUAAUCGCGAAUCAGCUAUGUCGCGGUGAAUACGUUCCC
rnacentral:rRNA from 1 species